GAUGACGAACGUAGUGAAAUGCGAUAAGUAAUGUGAAUUGCAGAAUUCAGUGAAUCAUCGAAUCUUUGAACGCACAUUGCGCCCGCCAGUAUUCUGGCGGGCAUGCCUGUUCGAGCGUCAUUACAACCCUCAGGCCCCCGGGCCUGGCGUUGGGGAUCGGCGGAGCCCCCCGUGGGCACACGCCGUCCCCCAAAUACAGUGGCGGUCCCGCCGCAGCUUCCAUCGCGUAGUAGCUAACACCUCGCGACUGGAGAGCGGCGCGGCCACGCCGUAAAACACCCAACUCUUCUGAAGUUGACCUCGAAUCAGGUAGGAAUACCCGCUGAACUUAAGCAUAUCAAUAAGCGGAGGA
rnacentral:misc_RNA from 1 species